ensembl:misc_RNA Metazoa_SRP Metazoan signal recognition particle RNA
GCAAGGCGCGGUGGGGCAUGCCUGUAGUCCCAGCUAUUUGGGUGGCUGAGGCUGGAGGAUCGCUUGAGUCCAGGAGUUCUGAGCUAUAGUGCACCAUGCCAAUCGGGUGUCCGCACUAAGUUCAGCAUCAAUAUGGUGACCUCCCAGGAGCGGGGGACCAACAGGUUACCUAAGGAAGGGUGAACCUGCCCAGGUCGGAAAUGGAGCAGGUCAAAACUCCCGUGCUGAUCAGUAGUGGGAUCGCGCCUGUGAAUAGCCACCGCAUUCCAGCCUGGGCAACAUAGUGAGACCCCGUCUCUU